GAUGAACGCUGGCGGCGUGCCUAAUACAUGCAAGUCGAGCGAACAGACGAGGAGCUUGCUCCUCUGACGUUAGCGGCGGACGGGUGAGUAACACGUGGAUAACCUACCUAUAAGACUGGGAUAACUUCGGGAAACCGGAGCUAAUACCGGAUAAUAUAUUGAACCGCAUGGUUCAAUAGUGAAAGACGGUUUUGCUGUCACUUAUAGAUGGAUCCGCGCCGCAUUAGCUAGUUGGUAAGGUAACGGCUUACCAAGGCAACGAUGCGUAGACGACCUGAGAGAGGGAUCGGCCACACUGGAACUGAGACACGGUCCAGACUCCUACGGGAGGCAGCAGUAGGGAAUCUACCGCAAAGGGCGAAAGCCUGACGGAGCAACGCCGCGUGAGUGAUGAAGGUCUUCGGAUCGUAAAGCUCUGUUAUUAGGGAAGAACAAAUGUGUAAGUAACUAUGCACGUCUUGACGGUACCUAAUCAGAAAGCCACGGCUAACUACGUG
rnacentral:rRNA from 1 species